rnacentral:rRNA from 1 species
GAUGAAUGCUGGCGGCGUGCCUAAUACAUGCAAGUCGAGCGAACAGACGAGGAGCUUGCUCCUCUGACGUUAGCGGCGGACGGGUGAGUAACACGUGGAUAACCUACCUAUAAGACUGGGAUAACUUCGGGAAACCGGAGCUAAUACCGGAUAAUAUAUUGAACCGCAUGGUUCAAUAGUGAAAGACGGUUUUGCUGUCACUUAUAGAUGGAUCCGCGCCGCAUUAGCUAGUUGGUAAGGUAACGGCUUACCAAGGCAACGAUGCGUAGCCGACCUGAGAGGGUGAUCGGCCACACUGGAACUGAGACACGGUCCAGACUCCUACGGGAGGCAGCAGUAGGGAAUCUUCCGCAAUGGGCGAAAGCCUGACGGAGCAACGCCGCGUGAGUGAUGAAGGUCUUCGGAUCGUAAAACUCUGUUAUUAGGGAAGAACAAAUGUGUAAGUAACUAUGCACGUCUUGACGGUACCUAAUCAGAAAGCCACGGCUAAUUACGUG